AAGUCGUAACAAGGUUUCCGUAGGUGAACCUGCGGAAGGAUCAUUACCAAAUCCAAAUUACCCAACCCCAUGUGAACUAUUGUUUGUUGUCCUUGGGGGAGAGGAAGAAAAGAAAGUAAUAUUUUUUGGAUUCCUUUCCCCCAAAAGAAUCCGGCACUUCGGUGCUCUGUGAUUCUUGAUAAACUACAGAUUUCUUUUGUUUUGGAAUGACAUUUUUUAUUAAAAUUAAUAAAAGACAACUUUUAACGGUGGAUCUCUUGGCUCGUG
rnacentral:misc_RNA from 1 species